rnacentral:rRNA from 1 species
UACGGAGGGGGCAAGCGUUAUCCGGAUUUACUGGGUGUAAAGGGCGCGCAGGCGGAUAGGUCAGUCUGGGGUGAAAUCUCGCGGCUUAACUGUGAGACUGCCCUGGAUACUAUCAGUCUUGAAGGGCUGAGAGGAUAGUGGAAUGCCGGGUGUAGUGGUGGAAUGCGUAGAUAUCCGGAGGAACACCAGUGGCGAAGGCGGCUCUCUGGGGGCAACCUGACGCUGAGGCGCGAAAGCGUGGGGAGCGAACCGG